GAUGAACGCUGGCGGCGUGCUUAACACAUGCAAGUCGAACGAAGCACUUUAUUUGAUUUCCUUCGGGACUGAUUAUUUUGUGACUGAGUGGCGGACGGGUGAGUAACGCGUGGGUAACCUGCCUUGUACAGGGGGAUAACAGUUGGAAACGGCUGCUAAUACCGCAUAAGCGCACAGCAUCGCAUGAUGCAGUGUGAAAAGCUCCGGUGGUAUAAGAUGGACCCGCGUUGGAUUAGCUAGUGGGUGAGGUAACGGCCCACCAAGGCGACGAUCCAUAGCCGACCUGAGAGGGUGACCGGCCACAUUGGGACUGAGACACGGCCCAAACUCCUACGGGAGGCAGCAGUGGGGAAUAUUGCACAAUGGGCGAAAGCCUGAUGCAGCGACGCCGCGUGAGCGAAGAAGUAUUUCGGUAUGUAAAGCCCUAUCAGCAGGGAAGAUAAUGACGGUACCUGACGAAGAAGCACCGGCUAAAUACGUG
rnacentral:rRNA from 1 species